CCUUGCCAGCCCGCUCAGAAACUUAAGGAAUUGACGGGGCCCGCACAAGCGGUGGAGCAUGUGGUUUAAUUCGAUGAUACGCGAGGAACCUUACCUGGGCUCAAAUGUAUGUUGACGUAUUCUGAAAGGGAUACUUCUUCGGACAAUAUACAAGGUGCUGCAUGGUUGUCGUCAGCUCGUGCCGUGAGGUGUCGGGUUAAGUCCCCGCAACGAGCGCAACCCCUAUUGCCAGUUGCUACCAGGUAAUGCUGGGCACUCUGGUGAGACUGCCCCGGUUAACGGGGAGGAAGGUGGGGACGACGUCAAGUCAUCAUGGCCCUUACGCCUAGGGCUACACACGUACUACAAUGGCGCAUACAAAGGGCAGCGAUACCGCGAGGUGGAGCCAAUCCCAAAAAGUGCGUCCCAGUCCGGAUUGCAGUCUGCAACUCGACUGCAUGAAGUUGGAAUCGCUAGUAAUUCGAGAUCAGCAUGCUCGGGUGAAUGCGUUCCCGGGGCUU
rnacentral:rRNA from 1 species